rnacentral:piRNA from 1 species
UUCUGGUGUUGCAUAUUGGGCAUCUCAA